GGAAAAACAAAGUUGCUGCUGAUUCUAACUCAAGUGAAAUGCAGGGGAAAAAGCUAGCUGAUACUGCAUGAAAAUGUACAAAAUUAGACUGCCUAAAGAAUUAUUUCAACUUUCUAAGUACCAGGGAUGACUUAUCCAGCACUUUUUUCUCCUGACUGUGACUCCAUCUACAUGCAUAUAUUUCUGUAAAUGAUCUCUUCAAGAAAUAUUUUGUUGAUUAGAACAGAUUAUUGGCACAGUGGUCUGAUCUUAUUUCAGAGGAUGAAAGAUCAUUAACCCUGCAGGGAAAUCCUAACACUGAUGCUUCCAUCCACAGAUACAACAUUCACUUUUAAGUGAGUACCAGUCUGAUAUGAGUUGCUGAAGAUGGGUGAGCUGAGGAAGAAGCAAAUGAUGUUGGUGCUGUUAAGAUACUGGAAAUGGCCAGUUCUGCUGUGCAAAAGGGGCAGGACAAACAGCAUUCCCCGGUGUUUCUGUGCCUUCUGUCAUCAUCAAAUAUGUCGACAGCUAUGGCCUUCAGAAAAUACUGUUCCUGCUUUGAAGGAGUGGACAAUUUCAGCUGGUGCCAAGCUGGGUGAGGACAUUACUCCUCUGAAAAAGUAAGACAAGUAGCCUGCGGGGAAUGCCACGAGCUGCUUUUUGCUAUGGCAAUGUAUGGGAUGGUGGCAGCCUGUGGGUAAGUCUAAACUUGAUCUUGUAAUGACUGUGAUGUGUGUGUCAAGUCCUAUUUAAAUUUGGAACAGCAGAGACCUAUGCAGAAAGUUGAGAAAUAAAAUGGGA
rnacentral:lncRNA from 1 species